AUGUUUCUUGAUGUCCAGAAAUGGAUGUUUCUUCUUCUUUGGUCUCAAAUGACCCUUGAAAAUGAUCAGAUUAUUCCAAUGGCUUCUUCUUGUUCUGCUUGCGCCCUUGAAAGUUGGGUCACCCUUCGCUUUGACGACGCAUCUGUGUGUUUGACGGUCAGCUGUACCGUUGAUGGUGCCGCAAUGUUUAGUAAGUCCAGUGAAACUCAAUUUAGGACAUGGUGGCUUACGGCAGCCCACACGACUGUGUGUUUUGUGAUUAUCAAUUUUACGGUAAUGGCCUAUAUUUUACACAAUGAAUUUAUUUACAUGGGAAUUGAGAGGAAGUGGAUAUUAAUGACUUCUUGA
rnacentral:rRNA from 1 species